AAGACACUCCCUCUGUCCGGAAAUACUUGUCAUCAAAAUGGAUAAAAGGAAAUGUAUCUAGACGUAUUUUAGUUUUAGAUACAUCUCUUUUUAUCCAUUUUGAUGAUAAGUAUUUUCAGACGGAGGGAGUAGAAA
rfam:Triticum aestivum genome assembly, contig: Triticum_aestivum_CS42_TGACv1_scaffold_499393_6BL